AUGAUACGCGAGGAACCUUACCUGGGCUCGAACGUAAGAUGACUGUAGGUGAAAGCUUACAUCUCUUCGGAGCGAUUUUACGAGGUGCUGCAUGGUUGUCGUCAGCUCGUGCCGUGAGGUGUCGGGUUAAGUCCCAUAACGAGCGCAACCCCUACCUUAGUUGCCAUCAGGUUAAGCUGGGGACUCUAAAGGAACUGCCUACGCAAGUAGUGAGGAAGGCGGGGAUGACGUCAAAUCAGCACGGCCCUUACGUCCAGGGCUACACACGUGCUACAAUGGCCGAUACAGAGGGCAGCUACCUGGUGACAGGAUGCAAAUCUCCAAAGUCGGUCUCAGUUCGGAUCGGAGUCUGCAACCCGACUCCGUGAAGUUGGAUUCGCUAGUAAUCGCGCAUCAGCCAUGGCGCGGUGAAUACGUUCCCGGGCCUU
rnacentral:rRNA from 1 species